rnacentral:rRNA from 1 species
UCUGGAAACUNUCUGACUUGAGUGCAGAAGGGGAGAGUGGAAUUCCAUGUGUAGCGGUGAAAUGCGUAGAUAUAUGGAGGANCACCAGUGGCGAAAGCGGCUCUCUGGUCUGUCACUGACGCUGAGGCUCGAAAGCGUGGGUAGCGAACAGGAUUAGAUACCCUGGUAGUCCACGCCGUAAACGAUGAGUGCUAGGUGUUAGGCCCUUUCCGGGGCUUAGUGCCGGAGCUAACGCAAUAAGCACUCCGCCUGGGGAGUACGACCGCAAGGUUGAAACUCAAAGGAAUUGACGGGGGCCCGCACAAGCGGUGGAGCAUGUGGUUUAAUUCGAAGCAACGCGAAGAACCUUACCAGGUCUUGACAUCCCGAUGCUAUUCUUAGAGAUAGGAAGUUACUUCGGUACAUCGGAGACAGGUGGUGCAUGGUUGUCGUCAGCUCGUGUCGUGAGAUGUUGGGUUAAGUCCCGCAACGAGCGCAACCCUUAUUGUUAGUUGCCAUCAUUAAGUUGGGCACUCUAGCGAGACUGCCGGUAAUAAACCGGAGGAAGGUGGGGAUGACGUCAAAUCAUCAUGCCCCUUAUGACCUGGGCUACACACGUGCUACAAUGGUCGGUACAACGAGUUGCGAGCCGGUGACGGCAAGCUAAUCUCUGAAAGCCGAUCUCAGUUCGGAUUGGAGGCUGCAACUCGCCUCCAUGAAGUCGGAAUCGCUAGUAAUCGCGGAUCAGCACGCCGCGGUGAAUACGUUCCCGGGCCUUGUACACACCGCCCGUCACACCACGAGAGUUUGUAACACCCGAAGUCGGUGAGGUAACCUUUU